rnacentral:lncRNA from 1 species
AACUGCUCACGCAUGAAGCUUCGGUGAAUCUUUUCUUUCUCUAGUUGCUCCUUGGCUAGAAAGUCUUUAUACUCUUUUAGAUUGGUCUUUAGUUCGAGAAUAUGGGCCUCGUAAUCUUCCCUCGCUUCUUUCUUCAUGGCAUUAGACCUCUCGACAGUAUUUUCAAGGUCCUUGAUGAUUCGGGAUGCUCGAUCCAACUCUUCGUUGCGGAAGUCUAGCUCAAAAU